UCCACAGUGUGCCUCCCAAUAUGACAGGU
rnacentral:piRNA from 1 species